CCUUGGUCAGGUUGAAGUUCAGGUAACACUGAAUGGAGGACCGAACCGACUUACGUUGAAAAGUGAGCGGAUGAACUGAGGGUAGCGGAGAAAUUCCAAUCGAACCUGGAGAUAGCUGGUUCUCUCCGAAAUAGCUUUAGGGCUAGCCUCAAGUGAUGAUUAUUGGAGGUAGAGCACUGUUUGGACGAGGGGCCCCUCUCGGGUUACCGAAUUCAGACAAACUCCGAAUGCCAAUUAAUUUAACUUGGGAGUCAGAACAUGGGUGAUAAGGUCCGUGUUCGAAAGGGAAACAGCCCAGACCACCAGCUAAGGUCCCAAAAUAUAUGUUAAGUGGAAAAGGAUGUGGCGUUGCCCAGACAACUAGGAUGUUGGCUUAGAAGCAGCCAUCAUUUAAAGAGUGCGUAAUAGCUCACUAGUCGAGUGACACUGCGCCGAAAAUGUACCGGGGCUAAACAUAUUACCGAAGCUGUGGAUUGUCCUUUGGACAAUGGUAGGAGAGCGUUCUAAGGGCGUUGAAGCAUGAUCGUAAGGACAUGUGGAGCGCUUAGAAGUGAGAAUGCCGGUGUGAGUAGCGAAAGACGGGUGAGAAUCCCGUCCACCGAUUGACUAAGGUUUCCAGAGGAAGGCUCGUCCGCUCUGGGUUAGUCGGGUCCUAAGCUGAGGCCGACAGGCGUAGGCGAUGGAUAACAGGUUGAUAUUCCUGUACCACCUAUAAUCGUUUUAAUCGAUGGGGGGACGCAGUAGGAUAGGCGAAGCGUGCGAUUGGAUUGCACGUCUAAGCAGUAAGGCUGAGUAUUAGGCAAAUCCGGUACUCGUUAAGGCU
rnacentral:rRNA from 1 species